rnacentral:lncRNA from 12 species
GCAAGAACAAGAUUCCUAAGUGUGGAAUAUGUUGUUUCCAGAACCCAAUGAGAUCAAUGGGCUCUUUGCUUCUUUCUUUAUGGUAGGAUGAAAGAUGCUGCAAUUUUUCUUUCACUUUGGAGUGGUUAUUCGACAAGCCUGAACCACUGGACUCCUAAAACUACAUUGAAGUAGAUGGUCUCUGAAUCUACAUAGAGUUUAUCUCCCAACUCUGGAAUAUGUGUGUCUUACCAAGGCCUCUAGCCAUCUCUACCAGACCUCAGAACACCCAACAUGAAGUUGUUUCAUUUGCUUGUCUCCUGCCCAUGACUAAGAUGCAAGCUCUUUGUCAGUACGGAAGACGGCUUAUAUUGUACUUACCAUUUUUAAAAAUUGUGUAACACCUGGCAUAGUUAGGUGAUGGCCAAGAAUUGAAGGACAAAAGAGGCUGGGUUGUCAAGUGGCAAACGACAUGACACUGCCUGAGACAGCAAAGACCUGCAGUCCUGCCUGUCAUCACUCACUAGCUGGACAAGCCCACUUGAACUUUUGGGAGCUCUGUAUCCUCGUUCCUAAAACGUGAGAGUUAAAUAAGAUGAAUUCUCUCAAAGUCAGUUUUCAGUUUCCCAGGAAAGGGGGAAGAUAGAAAAAUCUUUUUUUUUUUUUUAAGAUAGAAAAAUCUUCACAGACUCUCCAUCAGACUGUAACACAGCAACUGUGUUCUUCACCUUCAUUAGAUGCCAUUGACAUUGUAACAGUUUGCAAUGAUGUAGUCAUUGCCCACAAAGUGCUGAAUAGUUCUAUGAUCCUCCCUGGUCAUCCUAGCCACUAUAUAAAGAUAAGGGCAGGUACCAUCUUUAUGUUCUGAUUUCAAAGAUAAGGAUGUUUGUUAAGGGACUAGUAGACUGUCUGGCAGUUGCUGAACCUAACCUUUUACUUCUGUCCACAACUAAUUUAGAGAAAACACUCAGAUAUCAAUUUUUUUCCUUACAAAUAAUUAGAAGCAUUUAAAAAGUAUAAGAUUAAUCAGAUAUUUCAUUUUCCCACCAAGGGACACUAUGGUUCAUUUAACUUUGAAUCCAUCAUAGGCAGAGAGGUUUGGGGGCCGUUUGGAAGGGGUUUAUGAGCUGUAAAUUGAGUGCGCUGAGAGCAAUUAAGCACUUAAAUUAGAGCAAUGUGUAAAUUUAACAGCUGGGAAGUGUUGUCAGUUGCAAGCUACAGACCACCUGCUUGGCAGAUUCUGCAUACAAACUGAAGAAAAUAGAUUAAAUAGUGGAAAGUAGAAUCUGGCUUUGGUAAUUUGGAGCAUAAAUUCAGAUUACACAUACAGCUGGAGUACCUUUAAGAUUCAUGCAGAAGUACAGCACCUCCUCUAGGGAUGCUUGACUGGACAAAGAUUUGUUAGGCUGUUUAAACUGUGCUUCAAUUACAAUUUAAUUACUCUUACAGUAAAUAGCUUGGGACUGUUUCAAGAGAAUCUGACCUUGGAAUAUGAUGUCUAUUUAUCUUACCUUUUUCUUUUUCUUUCUUUCUUUUUUUUUUUUUUUUUUUUGGUGCUAAAAAGAAUGGUUGUCACAAAGACCUACAAGCUUCUAUUUACUCACAUGGUAUUUAUAAAAUUGAUUAAAACAGUAUUUUUCACCAUGUUCCCAGGAUCCUCUUAAGACUUGUCAAUGGGAAAGAAAGAGUUCCCAGGCUUCUAUCACUGACCAACUCUUAGUGAAAUAUAUGUUUUAAUAUGUUUUAAUCCUCUGUAAUAAAGUAUUAAUUACCGUUGAAGGAAUAAGAUCA